rnacentral:rRNA from 1 species
UACGGAGGGUGCAAGCGUUUAAUCGGAAUUACUGGGCGUAAAGCGUGCGCAGGCGGUUUGUUAAGUCUGCUGUGAAAUCCCCGAGCUCAACUUGGGAAUUGCAGUGGAUACUGGCAAGCUGGAGUACGGUAGAGGAAGGUGGAAUUCCCGGUGUAGCAGUGAAAUGCGUAGAGAUCGGGAGGAACACCAGUGGCGAAGGCGGCCUUCUGGACCAGUACUGACGCUCAUGCACGAAAGCGUGGGGAGCAAACAGG